rnacentral:rRNA from 1 species
GAUGUCGCCUGAAAAGUUUUGCAUGGAAUAAUGGAAUAGGACUUCGGUUCUAUUUCGUUGGUUUUCGGAUCCGAAGUAAUGAUCAAAAGAGACAGGCGGGGACGUUUGUAUGGUUGCGCUAGAGGUGAAAUUCAUGGACCGUAACCAGACAAACUAAAGCGAAAGCAUUCGUCAAGCAUGUUUUCAUUGGCCAUGAGCGAAAGUCAGAGGCUCGAAGACGAUCAGAUACCGUCCUAGUUCUGACCAUAAACGAUGCCAACUGACGAUCCGUGGUGGUAGUAUUUUAACCAUCCCCACGGGCAGUCCCCGGGAAACCUUUAAGUCUUUGGGUUCCGGGGGAAGUAUGGUUGCAAAGCUGAAACUUAAAGGAAUUGACGGAAGGGCACCACCAGGAGUGGAGCCUGCGGCUUAAUUUGACUCAACACGGGAAAACUCACCCGGCCCGGACACUGUGAGGAUUGACAGAUUGAUAGC